rnacentral:lncRNA from 1 species
AGCUAAAGUGUCUGAAUAAAAUUCAGUCAUCAUUCAUUUUAUUCAUAUUUGUUUUGUUCUUUAUGUGCUGUUAGCUGAAAGAUUAACUGUGUUUCAGCCACAGACUUACAUGAAGCAACAACCUUUUGGCAUCUUGAUGUCACCUCCUCCUUCGGACUGCCCUCAGUGGUGCAGUCGGUGUAAAAGCUCCAACCACUUAAAUCAUCUCCUGUUGCUUGAAAACUUGAUUUGGCCAUACUCCACCUCCGCCUCUGCUCUUUGCUCAGCAUCCUUCCUCUGACAUUUCGUGAUAAUGACAUCAGCAUAGGUUACUUCCUGGUCAUCUUCUUCAGCUGCAAAUUAGUAGGAAGAGGUGGCACGAACAGUCAGUGUAUUAGUACAGGAAUGGUUUGACUUAAACAAGAACUUUCACUCUCAUGUCUGCUGCUGGAACAGUUGAUUAGUUUUACCACAAAGAUUGAAGGCAGUGUGUGUGAUUAACUGGUGCACAUUAAAACUAAUUCAAAAUGUUUCAUUGGUGAACUUUCGGGCUGCCGUUUUUUGAGCUGUUUCCCCAUGUUUUUAGUUGUUGUGUUAAAACUAGUUGAUUAGCCACACCAACAAAUUUAACUGACAUAUGACAGAAGUAUGAUUAAACUCUUGGCAAGACAGCAAAAAGGUUUAUUAAAAAAAUGUUAAAUAAUUAUAUAUGUUUAAUUAAUCUGAGAAAGUGGAGUGUAGAAAUGGAAAGUUUUGUACCUCUUUGUUCUGUAGGUUUGCUGUUUUGCUUUUUCCUCCAAGCACAUAUGACUGCUACACCAACAACCAAGAAAAUUACCAGCGCUGAGAGAACACCACCUAUCAGUGGCAAAUUUCCUGUUUCAAAAAUAUAAGACAGAAACAGAUAGCAGGUUGAAUCAGAAAAAAAAACAUUAUUAUUUUUUUUUUAAUGAAGACAGAAUGAGUGAAGAAGAAAAUUAUAUCAGUGGAUUGACAAUAGGCUCAUCACUGAUGGCAGUUCCUUUCUCCUUACCCACAGAAGUCUUUGUUGGUUUAGGGUUUUGUAAUGGGUAUGGGAGUUUGGGGGUGUCCUACUGACUUUCUGUAUUUUGUGGUGGCGUAAUUUAGUUUAUCGGAGGAGUAUUUGGACAGAUGUUUGGUCGCCCCAGUUCGGGUCGCGACA